UUUACCACUCAUCUGCCAGAGUAAGUGCACUGGGAAAGGAAGAAGCUAUUUUUUAAAAUACACUUUAAUAACAAAAUUGUUUCUUCAUGAUCUAGUAUAUAUGGCAUGUUUUUGUGAUUUUUUUGCUUACAGUUACCAUUGUCAUUAAAGUAAAAAUUAAACAUAUAGAAGGACAACUGUAAACGGCUCUAAAUGAUGAUAGAAUAUUUCAUUUUUUUCAUCACUGAAUCAUUCUCAUUCUAUUGGUUUCCAAAAAAAAAUAUUUAUACUAAAAACAAGUACAGAUGUGAACAAAGAUACAUUCAUUUUUGCAUAAUGAAG
rnacentral:lncRNA from 1 species